UUUGAAAAGGAAUUGUUUUUAUUGUUUUCCUAAAGCUGGAGAGUGAAGGAAGCCAUCCUUGAGGAGUCAAGAUAAACUUCGGAUGUAAGCUGAACGGUCACUGGGUCACAGAAUUCCACCGGGAACGGGAAGAGCCUCUGGAGCAGCGCCCACAGUCCUGCCUUCUGUGCUUGGGAGUUUUCAAAGUGAGUUCUGGGAAAUGUUAGGCCAUGUAUAAAAGAAGAGGUGGUCUUAAGAAAGGCCAUGGUACCCGUGGCUGGAGGUCCUGGACACAGCCUCUCCCUCAUCUCAUCCAUGGAGAAAGUUCCCUAUAUUAGUUUGUUCUCACAUUGCUAUAAAGAACUACCCAA
rnacentral:lncRNA from 1 species